rnacentral:tRNA from 1 species
GCCUGGGUGGCUCAGUUGGUUGAGCGUCCGACUUCGGCUCAGGUCGUGAUCUCGCAGUCUGUGAGUUCAAGCCCCGCGUCAGGCU